rnacentral:rRNA from 1 species
AGGACGAACGCUGGCGGCGCGCUUAACACAUGCAAGUCGAGCGAGAACCGGUCCUCGGGACCGGGGAAAGCGGCGAACGGGUGAGUAACACGUGGGUAAUCAACCCUUGACUCUGGGAUAGCCCGGGGAAACGUCGGAUUAAUAACCGGAUGGCCCAACAGCUCUUCGGGGCGGUUGGAAAAGGUAGCUUCGGCCUCCGGUCAGGGACGAGCCCGCGGCGGAUUAGCUUGUUGGUGAGGUAACGGCCCACCAAGGCAUCGACGGGUAGCUGGUCUGAGAGGACGAUCAGCCACACUGGGACUGAGACACGGCCCAGACUCCUACGGGAGGCAGCAGUGGGGAAUCUUGCGCAAUGGGCGAAAGCCUGACGCAGCAACGCCGCGUGGAGGACGAAGGCUUUCUGAGUUGUAAACUCCUUUCAGCAGGGACGAUAGUGACGGUACCUGCAGAAGAAGCACCGGCCAACUACGUGCCAGCAGCCGC